UUUCUAAACAGGUCACCUCCCCAUAUCCUAAUAACCUUUCAUUUCCAUUACUUCUGGUGGGUGGGUGGGCUAGAAGGGGAGUUAAAGCACUUAAGAGCCUCGUUAAAGUUAGGGUUGAGAAAAAUUUAAACUUACAGUUGAGAACCACUGGGUUAGAUCCCACAGCCUUCACUUAACUAGAUCUGGGUGAGCAGCUGGUGUUCUCUCUCUCUCUCUCUCUCUCUCUCUCUCUCCUUGAUUUUUUCUUUAUCCCCUUUAUCCAGUCUCUUUAUCCUCUUAUCACCCUACUGUGCCCGCCGUACUUAGUUCUGUGGGUAUUCUUUAAGCAUAUUUAUUUUUUAUCUUAUGUGUAUGAGUGUUUGCCUGACUAUGUCUAUGUACCACGUGAAAACAGAUGCCUGCAGAGGCCAGAAGAAGGCAUUAGAUCCCCAGAGGCUAGAGUUACAGAUGGUUGUGAGCCACUGUAUGGAUCCUGAGCUGAGAGUAGCAAUUGGGUCCAGAAACCGGCCAGUGCACUUAAUCACUGAGCCAUCUCUCCAGUCCCUGGUUUUGUUGUUGUUGUUUAUUUGUUUGGGGGUUUUUUGGGGGAAGGGCGGAUAGGGCCUCAUUAUGUAGCUGGAUAGAACUGGAACUAAGUAUGACCCCCUGCCUCAGCCUCUGGAGUGUCGAGAUUAACAUAACAGCAAGCUAAUUAGAUAUGACAAAUAUUUAGUUCUGUGAUGACCUCUUUUUUUUUUUUUUGGUUCUUUUUUUCGGAGCUGGGGACCGAACCCAGGGCCUUGCGCUUCCUAGUCUCAGGGUCUCCGUCUGUCUACCUGUGGUAAUAACUGAGUGAUGACAUCACCAAGGAUUUUGCAUUCUUAAGACUGCAGGUAUUUUUCCAGACUGGGCUUUGCAGUAAACCUGCCUCAGGGCCUUACUGUAACACCCUUCACAGAUGAGCACCCUGAGGCCUAGGCAGGUCAAAGGCUACGACUCAAAAACAGGGCUCUGGCUCGCCCCUCUAUACUUAUGCCAGUCGCGUGGGGGAGUGUAGUUCUCAAAGCCAACCCUGGUUUGUGGCCUGGAGCUGGGGCACCCAAGCCACACACACCCUCUGGGCCCUGGCUGGGCCAGAUGUGUCCGCCAGAGGCCACCAGGGGGCGCUGCAAUGCCGGCGACUCCCGGGUGAGGUCCACGCCUGUUCCACGGACCCAGCCUCAGCUCCUGGAGCCGGCAACUUGAGGCGGACAGGGCAGAAGCUGGGAGAUCGCUUGGCCCCGGGCAGCGCAGACCUCAGCCGCAGCUCAAGCCCUGGUCCAGGCAGGCUUCUCGACGCUCGGGGAGUCGGGGUACUGAGCCUCGGAGUCAGGGGUGCUGCGCCCCGGGCAGACCUCCUUCCUCUUUUCCAGUCAUAGGCUCCGUAUGUGAACUCGUUUGCAUCUCUGCGGGCUUUAAAUGUUGCACAACUCCACGGAAGAAGAAACUCUGCCACAAGGCCCGUUCCUAUUGCAAAGCCCCAUGUCUUUGAGAUGUCUGUUUCUACUCCACCACUCUCGGCUGAGGCCAUGUGAAAGCUUAUGUGAGCACCUUGCAUCACAGGAUAAACACGAGGCUGCUCUCUGUCCCUUCAGGACGAAGGAGCGGUGGGGAAGUCACAGGACACUCACCUGAGGAUCCAUCCACUCCCACCACCCAGGUCCAGCAGCAGUGAGUGACCAGAAGCAGGCCAUUGCCAGGUAUCCUUGAAGGGCAGGGAGUCUGUCCAGCCACGCCCAGGAAAGCACGCCCGUCCUGGAGCAUGUUCGGGUGUGGCCUUGGAAGAUAUGCAACUGAGAGCAGAGGUCAGAACAGAACCAGAUCAGAAGGGCUUUGCUUGGCCAGGCCGUUUGGCUCUGCAGCACACCUGGAUCCCAUUCCUAGACUGUCCGGCUCUGAUUGGUGCCCACUGCAGGCUCCGCCUCCAGCUCUUUGGAUGAGAAAAUAUGGACGCCUGUGUUUUAAGAACUGAAACUGUCCUGGGACCUCGGCCCACUGGAGUUUGCUGCCACAUUUAAGGUGGUUCCUCCCAGCUCCGUUAAUUCCAUCUAGAGAGUACCUCACCCACACGGACAGGUUUGUCUCCCAGGUGAUUCUAGACCCUGUCAAACUGGCUGUAUUAAAGUGUCACGUGCUGGUUGCUGUAAGGACAGUCCCCAGAAGCUGCCUUCUCUAAGCACCCACAGUGCUGAGACUCUGGCCUUGACCGCUCAUACUUCAAGUUGGGCUGCAUUUCUGAGAGUUCUGCUACAGGGGCAUGGCUGUGCUCUCCCGGGGCAGGGGCCUCCCCAGGUUCAGAACCCUUGAAUCACCACUAUCUAUCUCCCUCUGCCCUUUUCCCUCCUUCCUGGCCCCCUCUCUUAAAAACCUUACUGUGCGGCAUGGAGAACCCCAGCAGGAGCUCCUGCAGGGAGAGAGAAGGCACACUGGUGAGGAAGCUUGCUUCUUUCUCAGCUGUAGCUGGGGCCAAGCCUACAGCCUCUUGUCAGUAAGUACACCCAGGGCUGCAGAGAAAGGCCCCAUCAUUGGGAAAGAGAAGGGGCUUUCAAGUCUUUCACUUUCCUGUCUGUCAUUGUUCUUAAAGUUUCAGGGUAAAACUAGGGCCUAAUGCAGCCACGAAACACCCGAGCUGUUCAAGGCAGGCCUUGUGCAAAACGCUGCAGGAUUUCGGACAGGAAGUUGUGUGGCUGUGUGGGCGUGAGGACCAGCUUCCUCCCUCUCUGACACUUUCUACGCUUUGGGGACCUUGCUCAGCAGUCUCCCCUCCCCCAAGCCCAGCAGACCCUCCUGAGGCCUCACACAGCCUCUGCCCCAGCAAGAGUGAAAACAGCAGGGUGAAUCCCAUCCUCUCUCAUCCCUGUCCCUCAUCUCCCCUAGACACGUGACCAUUUCUGACACCACACAGGACUUUCACUUCUUCAGAGUAGAAGCACUUGUAGAGUGUCUGGUUUUCGGAAUACUUGUCCUACCCUGCUUUCUCAGAGGAGGCUUGAUCUUGUUAUCCUUGUCUGGGUUCCUUGCCUCUGAAAGCAUAGUUUCUAGGUAACAAGCAGGGGCGGUCUGUAUACCCUGUAGCUACGGAGGGAGUCUCAGGAGUUCAGAAGCUAAUUUGAAUAGAGUUAUUGAUAGUGGAUAGAGCAAUUUGCAUACUGGAACUAAGUGGGUGGCUCUAGGAUGUUUAGGAAAUGACCCACAGAGUCUGUAGAUUCUGGGGCUCCAAAUCCAUUUCUCACAGAUGGGCUACCCUUAACUGCAGUCCCUGCCAACAUUCUGCUACAAGAACAUGUCAGAUUCAGAUUCCAGUAGCAGGAGCCUGCCCUGAUCAGCUGCUGGGAAGGCACUGUGGCCCAACUUGAAGAACUCUUGAAUUAGUGCCUCCCUCUCCUGGAACCUGAGAGCCUUGAUCUACAAACUGAAGGGCAGAAGGCAUGACUUUAACGCUUCACGGACUUAAAAUGCUGUAUCCUGUGAUUCUCCCAGCAGACGUAAACCUUGUCAUCUAACAGCAGCCUUCUUCAGCCUCAGAAAGGAACUGUGCAAUUUUAGCCCUUGCAUGUUAAGAGACCAGGAGGAGGGGUGCCUUCCAAGGCAGAGGGGCUUGCAGAGUAGCCAAUAUCAAGCCCUUCGUCCAGGAAGGGCUACAGUCUAUUCUCUUUCUU
rnacentral:sRNA from 1 species